rnacentral:rRNA from 1 species
AUUGAACGCUGGCGGCAGGCCUAACACAUGCAAGUCGAACGAGUGGCGGACGGGUGAGUAAUGUCUGGGAAACUGCCCGAUGGAGGGGGAUAAAUAAUGGAAACGGUAGCUAAUACCGCAUACCAUCGGAGGUGCCCAGAUGGGAUUAGCUAGUAGGGUGGGUAACGGCUCACCUAGGCGACGAUCCCUAGCUGGUCUGAGAGGCUGACCCGCCACACUGGAACUGUGACACGGUCCAGACUCCUACGCGAGGCAGCAGUGGGGAAUAUUGCACAAUGGGCUCAACCCUGCUGCAGCCAUGCCGCGUGUAUGAAGAAGGCCUUCGGGUUGUAAAGUACUUUCAGCGAGGAGGCGUUACUCGCAGAAGAAGCACCGGCUAACUCCGUGCCAGCAGCCGCGGUAAUUC